rnacentral:rRNA from 1 species
GUGAGGAAUAUUGGUCAAUGGGCGAGAGCCUGAACCAGCCAAGUCGCGUGAAGGAUGAAGGUUUUAUGAAUUGUAAACUUCUUUUGCAGGGGAAUAAAGUACGGUACGUGUACCGUUUUGUAUGUACCCUGAGAAUAAGGAUCGGCUAACUCCGUGCCAGCAGCCGCGGUAAUACGGAGGAUCCGAGCGUUAUCCGGAUUUAUUGGGUUUAAAGGGUGCGUAGGUGGCUUGAUAAGUCAUCGGUGAAAGUUUGCAGCUUAACUGUAAAAAUGCCGUUGAAACUGUCGGACUUGAGUGUAAAUGAGGUAGGCGGAAUGCGUGGUGUAGCGGUGAAAUGCAUAGAUAUCACGCAGAACUCCGAUUGCGAAGGCAGCUUACUAAGCUACAACUGACACUGAAGCACGAAAGCGUGGGGAUCAAACAGGAUUAGAUACCCUGGUAGUCC